rnacentral:lncRNA from 1 species
GGAAAAUGGUGUAGGUCAGAAACUUGGGUCUGCAUAAGCAACAGGGAGCAUCAGGAAAGAAGUGCAACGUCUACCUAGAAUAUCUGCUUCUUGCUGCCACAUGUUCCUUCCAUUCCAUUCCAUGAAGUCUACUUAACGAGCCCCUUCAGUAGAGAAGUUCUCAACGAAUCCCUUCUGGAUCCAGGCAUUCUGAUUACUGUAUUAUGACUGUGCACUCUACCCAGUCAAUCUCCACAGGGCAGACUGUCAUCUGAGCCCGGCCUGUCCUGCUGUCUGCUCUCUCCAGAGAGCAUCCUUCAUCCUGAUAAACAGGCUGCGAGCUGGACACGUGACUGAGCUCCUUAAGGUAAAUAGACUACAGAGAGUUGUUCCUUCCAUGCUGGCUCAACAGAAUUUGAUAAGCAGAAU